rnacentral:rRNA from 1 species
UACGUAGGGGGCGAGCGUUAUCCGGAUUUACUGGGUGUAAAGGGGGCGCAGACGGCGAUGCAAGCCAGGAGUGAAAGCCCGGGGCCCAACCCCGGGACUGCUCUUGGAACUGCGUGGCUGGAGUGCAGGAGGGGCAGGCGGAAUUCCUGGUGUAGCGGUGAAAUGCGUAGAUAUCAGGAGGAACACCGGUGGCGAAGGCGGCCUGCUGGACUGCAACUGACGUUGAGGCCCGAAAGCGUGGGGAGCAAACAGG